GUUGAACCGGUAACGCAGGUUCGUUCCCCAUAUAAGUUCCUGUGGGGACGGGGGAAAGUAGAGAACUUCCUCCCAAGAACUAAACGAGGCCACCGGUUUGCCAUCAGGUUCCCUAUAGCCAAAUUUGGCGAUUCGGCGAGAAAAUCAGCUCCAACCGGCUCCGUAUCUGGCUCGCCAAAAAUCGAAGCUCGCUAUCGCCUCCCCUAGCUCGCCACAUCCAGCGAGAAGGAUAGCGCCUCCGCUCGCUCGCCAUCGACAACUGCCACCCCCUCCCCCGUGAAAUCUCUUCGUACCAUCUGAAAGGUCGUCCCUGCCGCCGCCGUUUCAAAUCGUGGCACCACGUUCUUCCCCCUGCACCCCCCCCCCCCCCCGGCGCACCAAAUCUUGAGGUGGCGGUGCUGCUCCCGAUGCUCGCCGUGGUGGACGCGGUCCUGCUCACGGCCGCGCGGAGCUUCCAGAAAAAGGCCACCCAGGCCGCUGCCUGCAGUCGAUGCCAAGGACGACCACUGCAGCAGUCCAGUCUCCGCUAGUCGUCGUUCAGCGAGCGCACGAGAAUGCCGUCAGUGCAGAUCUCUGGUGCCAGAUCUUGAGGUGCUCACUGUGGACGCGGUCCUGCUCGAGGUUCGAUUCUCGUUUUUCCCUGCUCGAGGUUCGAUUCUCGUUUUUCUAUGUGCUGACCACCCACGUUGGGUGCUGAAGCUGGAAGAAAUAGUUGCAGCUGUUGACUGGCCAAAAUAUUGGUGACAGCCAAUUUGCAAGUCCACCCGAGGAACAAGGAGGUGAGGAAGUGCAAGUUGUAGAACCUACACCACCUGUGAAACCAAGCAAGAAGAGAAAAAAAAUUUAGUGAAAAGGAGGACGUUCUUUUGGUGUCGGCAUGGCUAGAAAUCGGCAUGGAUGCCGUUCACGGCAAUGAACAAUCUCAUAGUACAUAUUGGCAAAGGAUUCAUGAGUACUUUCAUGAGCAUAAGGACUUUGAAUCAGAUCGUUCUUCCAACUCUAUCAUGCACCGUUGGUCCACCAUAAAAGAGAAUGUUAACAGAUUUUGUGGAUGGUAUGCUCUGAUUCAAAAUAGGAGGCAAAGUGGGGUGUCCGAGUAAGAUAAGGUACUUCAGGCAUGUGAAUUGUACAAGGCAAAAGACAAGGAUGGCAGAUCGUUUGGUUUGUUGCAUUGUUGGAAUAUCUUGCAGCACAAGCAAAAGUGGAAGGAUAGAUGCUCUCAAAAGAGACAGAAGAUAUCCGCCAAUGCAAGUCCAAGAUCAUCUAAACCUGGAAGCAAUGAAAGUCGUAAUGAUGAAGAAGGGGAGGGUCUUACUUCAGAGCCCGGAGAUGAAAGGCCAGAUGGUAAGAAGACGGAGAAAGAACGACAACAUCGAGGUAAAAAUUCGGUAUCUCAGGGAGAGAACCUUUACAUGGAAGCUUUGAAAAAUAUGUGGGCCAAGAGGAAAGAGGUCGAAGCCUUGAAUGAGAUUAAGAAAAAAAAACGCAAUGAUGAGAGAAUUGCAUUGGAGAAGAAAAUGCUUGAACUAAAGGAGAGAGAUCUAGAGUUAAGACAGAGGAUCGAAGAUGAUAAAGUGAUGAAUAUGGACAUUAGUGGUAUGAGUGAGCGACAACAACAAUACUAUAUGAUAAUGUAAGAGGAGAUCAUUGCUCGACGGUUUGGCAUAGGGUUGGGUUGAGAUGAUUUAUUUUGUGUGGAUUGAUCUUUUGUGUAUGAACAUGUUCUCUAGUGCUCUCUUGUAUGAACAUGUUAUUUUGUGUUCUCUUGUAUGAAUAUGUUAUUUUAUGUUCUCUUGUAUGAACAUGUUGUUGAAUGAACUAUGCUUUAUUAGGACAAUA